rnacentral:rRNA from 1 species
AUGGCACUCACAAAACAAGUGUGGAGGCCUAAACAAAAAGAAAAUGCAGAUGCUUCUACAUUAGCUACAGCAACACAUUCACCACCAAAAGAGGAUGAUGCAACCCCUAUUACAUCGUCCACACCACCUGAAACAUCCCCUUCAGUUGAGGAGAUUUUAAGCCCAAUAUACACAUUAGGAGAUGAAGAUGAAAUGGUGGAUUACGAAUCUACGCCGGUUCGGGAAGGUAUGGAUAUUAAUAUGGUAUAUUACUUACCUGCCGAGUUUCAUGCUAUAGGUGAAGAAGGUGAGGUAGCCCAACUGGAUUUUGGUCCUAAGAACGCUAUCUUCGAGAAGCCAAAAGAACCGGUGAAACACUUGAAGCCAUUGUACCUCAAAGGUCAUAUUAACGGAUCGCCAGUUGCUAGGAUGCUCGUUGAUGGUGGUGCUGUGGUAAAUCUUAUGCCUUACUCGGUCUUCAAGAAGUUGGGGUUAGAUGAUGAUGCAUUGAUGAAGACCAAUAUGGUACUUAAUGGGUUUGAGGGUAAAGAAAAGACAGAGGCCAAAUGUGUGAUGUGCAUGGAACUCACCGUGGGAAGCAAAACUUUGGCCACCACAUUCUUCAUCGCCGAGGUGCAAGGUAACUAUAAUGUUAUAUUAGGCCGCGAUUGGGUUCAUGCUAACCAAUAUGUGCCAUCUACCAUGCAUCAAUUUUCAAUACAAUGGGUCGAUGAUGAGGUAGAAGUCAUUCACGCGGAUAAUUCGGCUUGUGUUGCUUUGGUCGAUGCAUCGGUGGAUUGGAAUCAUCCCGAUGUUACUUGCUUAACAGGGCGUGACCUCUCGGAGUUUGAUUUCCUUAGUGCUACGAGUAACGGGUUCAUUCCCAUCUCUUUAAAGCCGAUUGGUGGUAAUCGGUUCCAAGGUAUGAUGUAA